UAACUAGGAUGCCUGUGGUCUGAAGAUUCCAGGUGAGACCUUGUGUUUCUUCCCCUCUUCCUCCAAGUCAGUGGUGUCUGCUUCGUGUUCCCUGCAGCUCCGUGUUCCCCCUGCUGGCGAGAGUCAACAGGCCGGGUCAACACUACGUGCACGGCUGGCUUCAGAGUCUAUUUUAUAGUUCGUCGAUUCGCUCAGCUGUCGUUUUCACACUUGAUCAUGAACAGACUCCAUGCAAGGGAAAUCAACUGAAGAUGACUGUCUUUCACAGAACUCAAUAAAGAAGCUAGGAGACACGUGGGCUCCGUAACGCUUUGAGAUGACCUCAGUGUGCCAUGGAACAGCCAGUCACCACUGACUCUGGACACGGAAGGACAAGAAGGAGUUAAGAACACCACUGAAGCUUCUGACUCGGAGAUAACAAAUUAGAAGUUUUUGG